rnacentral:rRNA from 1 species
GUGCACGCUGGCGGUAGGCCUAACCCCUGCAAGUCGAACGGCAGCACCGUAAGAGCUUGCUCUUACGGGUGGCGAGUGGCGGACGGGUGAGGAAUACAUCGGAAUCUACUUUUUCGUGGGGGAUAACGUAGGGAAACUUACGCUAAUACCGCAUACGACCUACGGGUGAAAGCAGGGGAUCUUCGGACCUUGCGCGAUUGAAUGAGCCGAUGUCGGAUUAGCUAGUUGGCGGGGUAAAGGCCCACCAAGGCGACGAUCCGUAGCUGGUCUGAGAGGAUGAUCAGCUACACUGGAACUGAGACACGGUCCAGACUCCUACGGGAGGCAGCAGUGGGGAAUAUUGGACAAUGGGCGCAAGCCUGAUCCAGCCAUACCGCGUGGGUGAAGAAGGCCUUCGGGUUGUAAAGCCCUUUUGUUGGGAAAGAAAAGCAGCAGGUUAAUACCCCGCUGUUCUGACGGUACCCAAAGAAUAAGCACCGGCUAACUUCGUG